CCACAAAUGGUAAAACCUUUAAGGAAAUAUUUUGUUACGAUUCCCAAUUUGUUUUACAUUUUUUAACUAUGGAAUUUAAAGAGUUGCCAGUUACGAGCUUUUCCUAGGUUGAGAAAUCAAGCUUAAGAAAUUGUAUUAUUUAAGGCUAAUAUAGUGCCAGCAGCCGCGGUCAUACUAUUUUUAAUAAGCAAAUAGGUUUAGUAGUUAUUAUUUUAUUACAAAAUAUAGAUUAUGGUGAAAUAUAUAUAUAUUUCUCCCAAAAAUAAUAUAAGCUAAACGAACUCCUAAACCAAACAAGGAUUAGAUACCCUUCUAUGAGGAGCAAAGAAAUAAUUACUGGGCAUUAAACUAUUACACACCUAAACCCAAAUAACAUGGCGGUAAUUUUAAUAUUUAGGGGAACUUACCUAAUAAAUGAUAACCACCAAGGAAACUCUACUCUUAGUAAUAUUUUGUAUGCCGUCGUCUAAGUCUAAUUAAAUAUUAGACUGUAAUUCUAUAAUAAUAAGACAGAUCAAGGUGCAGACUAUCUUAGAGUUAAGGCGAGUUACAAUAGUAAAUUUCUUCUAUCAUUCUACCAAAAAGAACUACUAGAUGGACUUAAAAGUAAACAAAAUUACAAAUAUUCGUUGAAUUUAUAUAAAAUUGUGC
rnacentral:rRNA from 1 species